UUCUGUAAGCUUUCCAGACGUGUUUAAUCGCAUUUCAUUUUCAUAGCUUCUGGCCGACCGUGAUAUAAUACACCGCAUCCCAUUGUUGUGUGAGAAAUUGAUAUUCAGUUUAGGGGAGACGAAGAGGGACGUGCGACGACGGUGCGAAAGCAAUCCCAUGGACGAGAAAGUGAAAAUUCAUUGAAGCGUCAAGAGGGGCGAUCGAAAGCCCUGAUAAAAGAACUUGUGGCUCUAUCUUGCCUCGGCACGAGCUGUUCUAUGAGUAAUUGCUUCCCCCACAGAGUGGCCAAGUGGAAUGGCUAACAAUGCCAAUCCCGAAGGACAUGAUCAUGAUGAGGAAGAUAACGGUGAACGUGGCGAGAUCCAUGAUGACCUUGCUCAAGUUGAUAACAAUUGGCCCUAUUCGAUCAUGAAGUUGGCACCAGUAGAACAACCGCAUGCCACUCAUCACAGCAGCAACGGACAAAGCGCAAUUGGAGAACAUGUCGAAUGGAACUCGUUUCCUCAUCACAUCCUCGGAGCAUUCACCAUCAAUGCACGGGUGUAUUUUGCCCAUGAGAAUCCGGGCAAUAAAUGCCAUGAGAAGAAACGAAUGCAUGACCAGGUCGUAAGUUCUCCAGAAGUUGAAGGCUUUCACGACUGAGCGGACCGAUGUCAAGAUGUAGGCAUCGUUGACUAUCAUGGCAAUGGUGAAGAUGAAAAGACAAGAGUGAUACCAAUGGAAGUUAUUGAGAAGUUGAUCUCUGUCGGUGACGGAGCACAUGACGCUCAGGAUGACCAAAGCAACGAAAGCAAGAUACAUUCCUGUGAAGGAGAUAAAUCUGUUCAAGGGCUCAUCGAGAUUGCAAUUGUAGGGUCUCUUGGAUCGCUCUUCGGUGUUCCGGCUUUCGUUGCCGUUCCUCGGGCCUCUGAUUAUCUCGCGGAUCAGGUCGAGCAGAAGUUUAAUGGUUCGAAUGUGCGAAAGAGCUGAACAGAGGCUUUGGGAAACCGGUUGGUUCAGUCAUCUCGAGUUUCUACUCAACAUCCAAACAACGCUUUUUGUCGGAGUCUAGUAAUGACUACGGGUCGAGAAAAUAUUCUUUUAAAUAAAAUAUUCCUGUUAACAUCUCUUGGCUCUUUUGGAAAAGAAAAUAAUAAUUUUCCUUUUUUUUUUAAUUUCAUGCAAUAUUUCAGAUGAAAUGCAUGAAAGAUGUUGGACAUAUACGUACGUACAAAAAUGUAUACUAUCCAUUUGCUUAUUUACUAUUGUUGGUUCUUGAACAAAUCAUUCCUGAAAUAAAAUCAGUCAAUCACAUCGGCUGACUCUGCAGAAUAUUUCUCGUUAUUAAAAAAGGGGAAAAGAGCAUUAGUAGGGAAGAACCAUUAUUUUUUUGCUUCAUUCAAAACUUUCAAAACCAAGUGAAGACAGAUACAAACAAAAGUGCUCAAACUUCUUAUGAAUGAUUUGAGUUUCUGCAAGAUUGUAAAAUAAGAGUGAUAAGUAGAGUUUUUCUUAGUGUGUACU